AUUGAACGCUGGCGGCAGGCUUAACACAUGCAAGUCGAGCGAGCGGCGGACGGGUGAGUAAUGUCUGGGAAACUGCCUGAUGGAGGGGGAUAACUACUGGAAACGGUAGCUAAUACCUCAUACCAUCAGAUGUGCCCAGAUGGGAUUAGCUAGUAGGUGGGGUAAUGGCUCACCUAGGCGACGCUCCCUAGCUGGUCCGAGCGGAUGACCAGCCAAACUGGAACGGGGAAACGGGCCAGAAUCCGACGGGAGGGAGCAGGGGGGAAUAUUGGACAAGGGGGGCAAGCCUGAUGCAGCAAUGCCGGGUGUGGGAAGAAGGCCUUCGGGUUGUAAAGCAAUUUCAGCGAGGAGGCGUUACUCACAGAAGAAGCACCGGCUAACUCCGUGCCAGCAGCCGCGGUAAUAC
rnacentral:rRNA from 1 species